CACCCUCGGGUGACAGGGAGACAGGUGGUGCAUGGUUGUCGUCAGCUCGUGUCGUGAGAUGUUGGGUUAAGUCCCGCAACGAGCGCAACCCCUACGUUUAGUUGCUAACGCGUGAAGGCGAGCACUCUAGACGAACUGCCGUUGACAAAACGGAGGAAGGUGGGGAUGACGUCAAAUCAUCAUGCCCCUUAUGUUCUGGGCUACACACGUGCUACAAUGGCCGGUACAGACGGACGCAAAGCCGCGAGGUGGAGCAAAUCCUAAAAAGCCGGUCUCAGUUCGGAUUGCAGGCUGCAAUUCGCCUGCAUGAAGUCGGAAUCGCUAGUAAUCGCAGGUCAGCAUACUGCGGUGAAUACGUUCCCGGGCCUU
rnacentral:rRNA from 1 species